rnacentral:piRNA from 1 species
UGUAACGUAAGUCCCACUCGUCGACAGA